rnacentral:misc_RNA from 1 species
AAGCUUUUCGCUCCACUGCUGUGGAUCUACCACCUGAAGAAUCUAAGGCUCCAUAUCACUCAAUCACCUUGCCAGAGACUUUUGAACUUGACGAUUUUGAAUUGCCAGACAAUGACAUUUUUCAGGGUAAUUAUGUGGACCAUCAUAUUAGUUCAAGGGAGCAGAUCACACUACAAGAUAACAUGGAGGGUGUGGUUUACUCAACUUCGAAGUUUGGACUGGAUGAGAGAUUUGGGGAUGGUGACACUUCUGGUUUAGACCUUGAUGAGGAAUUAUUUCUGGACAAGGUUGCUGCUGCUGGAGAUGCUAAUGGGAGUGCGGAUCCUCAAGCAUCUGUUGAACCAAUGACACCAAUCAAACAAGAAGAACACCAUGAAGAGAUGGUUGCAAAUUCCGAGAGCAUGUUGGAUGGAGUUGAUGGAGAUGCUGAUUUCAUGGAUCAUGCUCCAUGUACUCCUGGGUUAGUGGAAGAACCAAAUUUGUCUAACAUUCAGGAAAUAUCAGCAUGUGAGGACCAUCUAGGUCUGGAAGAUCGUCAUUUGACGGAAUAUGCCG